AUCGUCCCGAGCGCGACCUCAGGUCAGGCGGGGCUACCCGCUGAGUUUAAGCAUAUCAAUAAGCGGAGGAAAAGAAACUAACGAGGAUUCCCCUAGUAACGGCGAGCGAACCGGGAAGAGCCCAGCAUGAGAAUCGGUCGCCCCUGGCGUCUGAAUUGUAGUCUGGAGAAGCGUCCUCAGUGGCGGACCGGGCCGAAGUCCCCUGGAAGGUGGCGCCAGAGAGGGUGAGAGCCCCGUUGUGCCCGGACCCUGUCGCACCACGAGGCGCUGUUUGCGAGUCGGUUGUUUGGGAAUGCAAGCCCUAAUCGGGCGGUAAAUUCCGUUCCAAGGCUAAAUACUGGCGUGAGACCGAUAGCGAAAAGUACCGCGAGGGAAAGAAGAAAAGGACUUUGAAAAGAGAGUCAAAGAGUGCUUGAAAUUGUCGGGAGGGAAGCGGAUGGGGGCCGGCGAUGCGCCCCGGUCGGAUGUGGAACGGCGACGCUGGUCCGCCAAUCGACUCGGGGCGUCGACCGACGCGGAUUGCAACGGUGGCCCAAGCCCGGGCCGUCGAUAGGCCCGCUGGAUACGUCAUCGUUGCGAUUGUGGAAGGCAGCGCGCGCCCGCUGGCGUGCUUCGGCACCUGCGCGCUCCGGGCGUCGGCCUGUGGGCUCCCCAUUCGGCCCGUCUUGAAACACGGACCAAGGAGUCUGACAUGUGUGCGAGUCAACGGGUGAAUAAACCCGCGGGGCGCAAGUAAGCUAAUUGGCGGGAUCC
rnacentral:rRNA from 1 species